UGCGGUUAAACAAAAGUUAAAUUAAAUUUUUUUAGGAUUAAUAAAUAUAAUUAAAUAGAAUAAAUUAAAUUUUAAAUUUUAAGGUGAAAUUUUAAUUUAAUUAAAAUUUAUAUACUUAUAUAAUAUUAAUAAAUUUUUUAAAAAACUAGGAUUAGAUACCCUAUUAUAAAAAUUUAAAUUAAAUAAUCUUAAAAUAGUAUAUAAUUUUUUAUAAAAACUUAAAUAAUUUGGCGGUAUUUUAGUUCAUUUAGAGGAAUCUGUCUAAUAAUUGAUAAUCCACGAUUAAAUUUACUUAAUUUUUAAUUUUGUAUAUCGUUGUUAAAAAAAUAUUUUUAAAUAAUUUUAAUAUUUUAAAAUUUAAAAUAAAAAUUAAAUCAGAUCAAGAUGCAGAUUAUAAUUAAGAAUAUGAUGGAUUACAAUAAAUUUUAUUUAUUGGAUGUUAAUUUGAAAUAAGUUAAUGGAAAUUGGAUUUAAAUGUAAUUUUAUUAAUUUAAUUAAAAUGAUUAAAAAUUAAAAUAUGUACAUAUUGCCCGUCGCUUUCAUUUAUAAAUUGAAAUAAGUCGUAACAAAGUAGAGGUACUGGAAAGUGUUUCUAGAAAGAU
rnacentral:rRNA from 1 species